GACGGUAUAGCUCAGUGGCAGAGCGCAUGCUUAGCAUGCACGAGGUCCUGGGUUCAACUUCCAGUCCCUCCU
rnacentral:tRNA from 1 species